rnacentral:rRNA from 1 species
GACGAACGCUGGCGGCGCGCUUAACACAUGCAAGUCGAACGGAAAGGCCUGCUUUCCCUUGUGGAUUGCGGGUACUCGAGUGGCGAACGGGUGAGUAACACGUGAGUGAUCUGCCCCCAACUUGGGUAUAAGCCUGGGAAACUGGGUCUAAUUCCCGAUAGGACUGCAGGGUGGUGCCUGUGGUGGAACACGAUUUUCUAGUGGUUGGGGAUGAGCUCGCGGCCUAUCAGCUUGUUGGUGGGGUAAUGGCCUACCAAGGCGGCGACGGGUAGCCGGCCUGAGAGGGUGGACGGCCACAUUGGGACUGAGAUACGGCCCAGACUCCUACGGGAGGCAGCAGUGGGGAAUAUUGCACAAUGGGCGGAAGCCUGAUGCAGCGACGCCGCGUGGGGGAUGACGGCCUUCGGGUUGUAAACUCCUUUCGGCCGCGAGGAAGCCACCUGGUUGGAAGGGUGGUGACGGUAGUGGUAGAAGAAGCACCGGCUAACUACGUG